AUGUGCAAAAAUCCAGCUGAAAUGUAUGAUGUUGUUGAACCUGACUUGCGAAGUAGAGAAGAAAUGUGAGAUGAGGCAUCGCAGGCAUGAAGCUACAGGUGGUGCAGGUGAUGCUACUAUGGACUGUGAAGACUGCAAAGAUGGACUGGAGCUAAUUUGAAUCAGUUGCAGGUCACGGGUUGUGGAGUUGCAGCUGUUGCAGAAAAUGGUAUUGAAUACGAAGUUGCGACUUAACUGAUGUCGCAGGUGGUAAACAAGAGUUUAAACUGGUAAUGAAGCUGCAGAGGGUAUGUGCUGAAUUCGUUAAUGGAAGAGAAGGUGGUACAAGACUAAUGGUUUUAUGUAGCAGAUUAGGCAAAUAAAUGCAAUUAUUGCUUUCCAUUUUGUGAGCUGAGUUAGUAUUGCCAUGAAUUAAUGAGAAUCUGUGAUAGUUUAGGGUUACAAAAGAACGGAUUUGCUGUGGAGGUCUUGCUGGUCUGAGAUGGAAGGUGCAGAUUGUGGCCUGUGCAAUAAGGCCUUCGCAGUUUUGUCUAUUGCAGUCAAGAAGAUGGAGCAUAUACAAAUGCAGAUGAUGGCAGUGACUGAGCUAGUUUGCAGCUGAAAUUGCAAGGAAAUAUAAACUGAAAUGCAUGAACAACAAAGGAUGCAGUUGCAGCUGGGUGUGAAAUGUUGCGGUUGUAUGUGAAUGGUGACUGCUAUUUAAAUGGACUGUGAAGGUUGUGCGGCUGAGACGAAGAUGGUAAGGUGACAAUGAUGCUGUUGCUUUUAGUGAUAAGCUGGAGUUGAAGCGAGAUGGAAGCUGGUGUGAUGAAUGCUUAUGAAGGCUACAGGCGGAAUAGCUUUGGGGUGAGGUUGUUGAGUAUUGCAGAAGCUGAGAAAAAUAUUGAAGUUCAGUGGGAUUGUCUGCCUGGACUAGUUGGUCUGAGACUGCAAAUAAAGUGGUAGCUCUUGAGGUGGAACUGCGGUGCUGUAUUUUAGUUACUUGGUUGCUGUUACAAGGAACUGGAGUUGGUGAACUGCAGGCAGUGUUGUUAAGGAUUGGCAUAGAAGCAGUGAGUUCUUGUGUUAUUGGUUGAACUGAAAUGAGUCAGAGGAGAUUGUGUUAGCUGCAGUUUCUAGAAGUUGUGUGAAGGUAGAUGAGUUGAGAUGGAGCAGCUGAUUGUGGUGCGACUGUGUCACAGGGAAGCAGAGAUUUUUACUGGGUUGUUUCCACAUGUGGGUUGUACGGGCUUGUUGGACUUUUAUUGGGCCUUUGAAGACUAAACCUAAUUUUGGAACAAGAGGAGCUACAAAAAAGAGUGAGACUUCUACAACUAUAUCACGUAUUCUACUUGGAGUUUUGGAGACAUAGCCGCAGCUAGGGUUUGCUUUCCUUUUUAUCUUUGAUCUUCUUUAUUUCAAUUAUUAUUAUGAUGAUGAACUAAAAUCUUUCGUUGAUUAGGGGCGAUUUCAAUGCCCGGAGUAUGAAUCUAUAAUUGAUAUGAAAUAACUCGUUUUCUCGCCA